rnacentral:rRNA from 1 species
UACAGGGGGUGCAAACGUUGCUCGGAAUUAUUGGGCGUAAAGCGCGCGUAGGCGGCUACUUAAGUCGGAUGUGAAAGCCCUUGGCUCAACUGAGGAAGUGCACCCGAAACUGAGUGGCUUGAGUACGAAAGGCGAGGUCGCGGAAUUCCCGGUGUAGAGGUGAAAUUCGUAGAUAGUCGGGAGGAACACCGGUGGCGAAGGCGGCGACCUGGGUCGAUACUGACGCUGAUGCGCGAAAGCGUGGGGAGCAAACAGG